CUGUGGAAGGCUUCCUCCCCUCAUCGUGUGGGUUGCGUUGGUCAAGGAGGACAGACAUCGCUAAUCAGAAUGCUGCCUUUUAACAGAACGACAGGUGAUUAGAUGACCACUUUCAGCUGUGUCAUCCGCUCACCUGUCGCCAACCUCGAAGCCGGCCCUGCCACACCCCGCUUCCCUGCAGAUGGACCAUGGUGUGUGCCAGGUGUUCCUGCCGCCAGAGAAGGAUAGUCCCAAACAGCUUUCAAACAAAUGCCCUGAGACCAGCUUAGAUGAUGAUCUUGAGCUUUCAGGGCACCUGUUGUUGGCAACUGGCUGGUAAACGUUUUGGAGCUCAUUUAUACCUUCAGAAUGUUCUGGAAGCUUUCCCUCAGAGGUGCAGGUCAAUGCUUUCACCCCAGCAUCACGUAGCUGCUGCACGGGCAUGAUGUGCAUGUUUCUGUUUCCAGCACAUUCAGGAUAGUCUGUUGGAUUUAUAACAGUGAAACAAUUUUAAAAGGCCUUUUUGACACUAGGGCUGUAUUGGUAAAUCUGAUUUUUUUUGGUACAGAACAUUAUUUUUAGUUAUUUAGUAUGUCUAAUUCGAAUCCUGCUCAUUUAAAAAAAAAUGCAGGAUAUGCAAUGUUUGUAGAAAUUGCG